rnacentral:rRNA from 1 species
GGAAUCUUGCGCAAUGGGCGAAAGCCUGACGCAGCCAUGCCGCGUGGAUGAUGAAGGUCUUAGGAUUGUAAAAUCCUUUCACCGGGGACGAUAAUGACGGUACCCGGAGAAGAAGCCCCGGCUAACUUCGUGCCAGCAGCCGCGGUAAUACGAAGGGGGCUAGCGUUGCUCGGAAUUACUGGGCGUAAAGGGCGCGUAGGCGGACAUUUAAGUCAGGGGUGAAAUCCCAGGGCUCAACCCUGGAACUGCCUUUGAUACUGGGUGUCUUGAGUACGGGAGAGGUGUGUGGAACUCCGAGUGUAGAGGUGAAAUUCGUAGAUAUUCGGAAGAACACCAAUGGCGAAGGCGACACACUGGCCCGUUACUGACGCUGAGGCGCGAAAGCGUGGGGAGCAAACAG